rnacentral:rRNA from 1 species
GAUGAACGCUAGCGGCAGGCCUAACACAUGCAAGUCGAGGGAGAAGCCCUUCGGGGCAGAAACCGGCGCACGGGUGCGUAACGCGUAUGCAACCUACCUUUCACAGGGGGAUAGCCCGAAGAAAUUUGGAUUAAUACCCCAUAAUAUUAUUGGAUGGCAUCAUUUGAUAAUUAAAACUGAGGUGGUGAAAGAUGGGCAUGCGUCCUAUUAGCUAGUUGGAGUGGUAACGGCACCCCAAGGCUACGAUAGGUAGGGGUCCUGAGAGGGAGAUCCCCCACACUGGUACUGAGACAGGGACCAGACUCCUACGGGAGGCAGCAGUGAGGAAUAUUGGUCAAUGGUCGGAAGACUGAACCAGCCAUGCCGCGUGCAGGAAGAAUGCCUUAUGGGUUGUAAACUGCUUUUUAUAUGGGAAAGAAUAAAGGAAGUAACGUG